CCUGUGGAUCGAAGAGCUCUGCCAUGCUCCCCUUGCUUACGGUGAGGAUAUCUGUACUGACCCUCUUUUUUCUCAAAAGAUUAUGCAGGAACCGAUCCCGUCAAACUUCAAGCUCCCCCAAUUUGAGAGCUACGACAGGACCUCGAAUCUGGUUGACCACCUGGAGGCCUUUCGGACAAUGAUGCUGCUCCAUGGCAUGCCAGACGCCAUCCUGUGC
rnacentral:lncRNA from 1 species